GCGACAGUGGCUCAGUUGGAUAGAGCAACGGUCUUCUAAACCGUAGGUCGUGGGUUCGAACCCCACCUGUCGCA
rnacentral:tRNA from 1 species